rnacentral:rRNA from 1 species
UGGGGAAUAUUGCACAAUGGACGGAAGUUUGAUGCAGCGACGCCGCGUGGAGGGUGUAGGCCUUCGGGUUGUGAACUCCUUUUUCUCGCGAAAAAGGCACAGUUUUGGCUGUGUUGAUGGUAGUGGGGGAAGAAGCGCCGGCUAACUACGUGCCAGCAGCCGCGGUAAUACGUAGGGCGCGAGCGUUGUCCGGAUUUAUUGGGCGUAAAGAGCUCGUAGGUGGUUCGUCGCGUCUGUCGUGCAAGCCAGCAGCUUAACUGUUGGUCUGCGGUGGGUAAGGGCGGGCUUGAGUGCGGUAGGGGUGACUGGAAUUCCUGGUGUAGCGGUGGAAUGCGCAGAUAUCAGGAGGAACACCGAUGGCGAAGGCAGGUCACUGGGCCGUUACUGACACUGAGGAGCGAAAGCGUGGGGAGCGAACAGG